rnacentral:rRNA from 1 species
UACGAAGGGGGCUAGCGUUGCUCGGAAUCACUGGGCGUAAAGGGUGCGUAGGCGGGCCUUUAAGUCAGGGGUGAAAGCCCAGGGCUCAACCUUGGAAUUGCCUUUGAUACUGGCUGUCUUGAGUUCGGGAGAGGUGAGUGGAAUGCCGAGUGUAGAGGUGAAAUUCGUAGAUAUUCGGCGGAACACCAGUGGCGAAGGCGACUCACUGGCCCGAUACUGACGCUGAGGCGCGAAAGCGUGGGGAGCAAACGGG